rnacentral:rRNA from 1 species
CUACGGGGUGCAGCAGUGAGGAAUAUUGCACAAUGGGGGGAACCCUGAUGCAGCAACGCCGCGUGGAGGAUGACGCAUUUCGGUGUGUAAACUCCUUUUAUAUGUCAAGAAAAUGACGGUAGCAUAUGAAUAAGCACCGGCUAACUCCGUGCCAGCAGCCGCUGUAAUACGGAGGGUGCAAGCGUUACUCGGAAUCACUGGGCGUAAAGGACGCGUAGGCGGGUUGGAAAGUCAGGUGUGAAAUCCUACAGCUUAACUGUAGAACUGCACUUGAAACUUCUAAUCUAGAGUAUGGGAGGGGGAGAUGGAAUUAGUGGUGUAGGGGUAAUAUCCGUAGAUAUCACUAGGAAUACCUAAAGCGAAGGCGAUCUCCUGGAACAUUACUGACGCUAAGGCGUGAAAGCGUGGGGAGCAAACAGGAUUAGAUACCCCAGUAGUC